UGUUAUCUUUCAAACUGCCCUCUUCUGAGAUGUCCAUUAGUGAUUCACUCCGUCGCAGUACGCACGCGCCGCUUGGCAACUGCGAUGCGACCCAUGUGAUCCUGUUCUUCCCCCUGAUUGGUGUACUCUCGUCUCCUCUGUUAGGGCUGCUGCGCAGCCUCUAUUCCACAUACACGCCAUUCUGGCGUUCUAUCGCCAUGUUUACAGCAUGUACAGAGUGAAAAUCCCCCUGAUAUCUAACCUUUAAGGCUUCUUUCAAUGGCCAAUUGCAGCAUUACAGUAGCAGCGACAUGGGGCAACCCGUCAAAUAAUUCUCUACAAGACAAAGACGAAAAAAAAUGGCUUAAAAGAAGCAAUGCACAAUACCCAU